ensembl:lncRNA
UGUUAUAUUUUAUUUACAUUCUGUAGCAGAUGCUUUCGGGGAUGGAUGCAUCGGACUCUUGAGGCCAACACACCCUGUGAAUACUGUUUAAAAAAAGCAUGUAUGGCUUUCUUUCCACUUUGUUGUGUUGUCAGUUUGGYAGGACAACAGCACUGUGCAUGAGAAGUGGAAAGAGCAAAUAGACGUGUUCUUUAGCUGCCUACAGCCGGGAUCUGAUCAUGUCCCGUUCCUUGUGAUGGUAGCACUCGUGAGCCUGGAAUCAUUCAUGAUUCAACAAAAUUAGGUCCAUUGUAGCUGUGGCAACCCAGACCUUAGAAAGCAGCUUAUGACCUAAAGCUGAGGCUGCUUCUCUUUGAGUAUUGCUGGGGUUUUUUUCUUCCUCACUAAGCUAUGUUUAAUUGGCCAAGGGGAAAAAAAACAAAACAACUGUUCUUUGAUUAUGACAAUGUUUUGAUGUUUUGUAUUUUACCCAAACACAAUCUCAGUAACAGAAAAAACAGAAAUUGGAAACUCAGAUAAUGACAUUGAUAACAAGUUUUGUCAUUAAAGCACUGAAUGUUUUUUGCUGUUUCGCUACCAAAUCUGACCUUGAAUUUUGAUCUUCUURUAGGCCUGUCUUUUCAGAGACCUUGCUUUGACCAGAAGGAUUAUACGAAUAGGAUGAGGAGGGUACAACUGGGAGUCCUCAGYAGGACAUGCAAUGGUCUUGAAAGCUGGAGUGUUCUAAAUUCCCAUUCCAAAGGAAAACCUACUUCUGCUGUGCCCUGCAUUCAGCURUAAGUCUUGCCUGAAAUGCCGUAAAGCAGAUAUUACUGUGGAAUAAGCCACGCUGGUGAGAGACAUGUAGUUCCCAUUCACUUCCUUAAGCAUCARGUGGUUUUGACCGGGAUGACUGGAAAAGCCCAUCUUUCCCUCGUCCUGCAAUAUCAGAUAGGAUUCAUUCCUUCUUAGGCCUUAAUGUCCCACAGCUGGCAACAGAGCUUCCUCCCUGGUGGCUCCUCACCUCUGCGAUACGCUCGCUUUGGCUUUACCUCUGAGACUUACCAGUGAUGAAGGACCAGUUUAUUUUGUGUGGUGUGUGGACUGAUAUUUUAUCUGAGAUUGCUUUAUGUGCAUAACAUGUGCUUUAGUGUUUUUGCAACUGAGGUGUUGUCCAAAUUAACAAAUGAUAUUAAUGAAUUCCUUCCUGUGUUUAAACAGACUCAGAUUCAGUAUUUUACUCAAAUUAGCAAAUUAUUAAGUCGGAUAAGAAUAAUACUGGGUUACAAAAUGUUCUURCUUCACUGAUUUUGACAAUUGCAGUUUUAGUUUUAAUUAUUUAUAACAUCAUUGUACUAAUUUAAUAUAGCAUAUUUCUGUUCAGUAAUGAAAUUAGUGGUAUGAGACUGCAGCACUUGCUGUUAACACUUUGCUGAGUAAUAUGUACAUUAAUUGUAUUAGAGCAGCUUUAAAAUACAUAUGGACUCAAGGGUGAAGGUGUUUUAAACUUGCUUGUUCUUCAUGUAGGUAAAAAUAGUGUCAUGUAAGACUUGGUCUUAAGUAAGAAAAUCAGUGCGACUACUCAUGGGAGGAAAGUUCUAGUACUGUGAAAUCCUUUAAGUCUCUGUAGGGUCAGGCCUUAACCAGCAGACAUUAAAGAGCAUAUUUUGWAGUUUUAAGGGCAAUUUUCUUUUCUAAGGGUGUCUUAGUCUCAWUUCAUUCUAGUUAAAAGAUAAUUUAACAAGAUUGCCUUCUCUAUCCCAUAUGAAUUGCUGCAAGUUUGCUUUAAGAUCUGCUACUGUUAAUGAUAAUCAUUGGUCUAAAGGUCCCAGAAACGCUGGCACUGUGGGCCUGAAACAUGACUUUGACAAAACAAAAUGCUGUAGGAUUCACAAGGCAAACGUCCRUUACAAAUAAAGAAAAUAUUUUU